GGAGGUGAGGGCGAUCUGGCUGCAACAUCUGUCACCCCAUGGAUCGCCAGGGUUGAUUCGGCUGAUCUGGCUGGCUAGGCAGGUGUCCCCUUCCUCCCUCACCACUCCAUGUGCAUCCCUCCCGAAGCUGCGCUCUGGGUGGAAGAAGACGACCAUCCCCGCUAGAGGAGGACCGGUCUUCGGUCAAAGGUAUACAAGUAGCUGUGCUCCCCUGCUAGAACCUCCAAACAAGCUCUUAAGAACAGAAUUCAUGACAUCUGCAUUUGGUGUGGUAGUUAUUAAUGGCAUUUUUUUAAUCUAAAAUCACUUAAAAAGCUAACAAAGGCUGCUCAAUAAAGUUU
ensembl:misc_RNA 7SK 7SK RNA